rnacentral:lncRNA from 1 species
GUGAGUGUACUUCUCAGUAGCAACUUUUCUCCCUGAAAAAUAAUUUUGUAUUUGUCAGACAACAUGGACACUUGCUAAAUAUUCCAAAAAAAACCCGACUGCACUGUCCACAAGCAUCCUCUAUGCUUUCUUUCGGGGCCAGUAACCUGAUCACUGUUGUUGUUUUUUUUCUCUUAUUGCAGAGCAAUUUGAAAGCCCAGUCUCAACCCUGUCCUGUUGAAGAUCUGCAGGCGUCUACACAUGGCGGCGUGGAGGAUAUGAAAUCAGAACGUAGAAAGUGGAUCACCGAGUCUCACCUCUGUAAGUAUUCUUUUGUUUUUUUUAACAGCUUUAUUCAAACGUAGUUGACAUGCAAAACAAUGUACCCACUUAAAGUAGGUGAUUCAGCGUUGUUAGAUAUACUAACAUUCCCCCAUCUCAGAAUAGGGAACUGAGGCACAGAGGGUUCAUUUUACUCUCCCAGGUAUGUGCAGAUUCUAAGUAGGAUUUGCAUCCAGGCCAUUCUUGGUGACUUGGAUCUGCUGCUUUUCUAUACUGUCUCAUCUAAAGAUAUCUGCCUGCACAAACAGUCCGUUUUAAGUGCAAUGAACCUUGCAGAAUCCUCCUAGAACCCAAAUCUAAUUCAGGUAGAGUUGAAAAGCAGACGGUAAAAACUGGGAUCAAAAGUUUCAUCUGGGAAUAAGUUUUUACUAAUUUCUCUCCUGUCCUCUGCCAGCAACAUGUCUAGCACUGUCUUUAUUAUAAUACAUUUACAAGAAUCUGUAAGAAGUUUGCUCUACCCUGCAGGUCUGCCUAUCUGUUCCAAGGGCUGGACAACAAAAAUACGGAAAUCCCAGAAAAUUUGGCCUGCAGACAAUAAAGGUAGUGUGGAAAUUAAAUCA